rnacentral:rRNA from 1 species
GACGAACGCUGGCGGCGUGCUUAACACAUGCAAGUCGAACGGUGAAGCGCCUUCCUUUUUGGUGGGUGUGGAUGAGUGGCGAACGGGUGAGUAACACGUGAGUAACCUGCCCCCUUCUUCUGGAUAACCGCAUGAAAGUGUGGCUAAUACGGGAUAUUCUGGGUCUGUCGCAUGAUGGGUCUGGGAAAGAUAUUGUUUCGGUGGGGGAUGGGCUCGCGGCCUAUCAGCUUGUUGGUGGGGUGAUGGCCUACCAAGGCGGUGACGGGUAGCCGGCCUGAGAGGGUGGACGGUCACACUGGGACUGGGACACGGCCCAGACUCCUACGGGAGGCAGCAGUGGGGAAUACUGCACAAUGGGCGCAAGCCUGAUGCAGCGACGCCGCGUGAGGGAUGGAGGCCUUCGGGUUGUGAACCUCUUUCGCCAGUGAAGCAGGCCUGCCUCGUUUGUGGGUGGGUUGACGGUAGCUGGAUAAGAAGCGCCGGCUAACUACGUG